UACGGGGGGGGGCAAGCGUUGUUCGGAAUUACUGGGCGUAAAGGGCUCGUAGGCGGCCAACUAAGUCAGACGUGAAAUCCCUCGGCUUAACCGGGGAACUGCAUCUGAUACUGGAUGGCUUGAGUUCGGGAGAGGGAUGCGGAAUUCCAGGUGUAGCGGUGAAAUGCGUAGAUAUCUGGAGGAACACCGGUGGCGAAGGCAGCUUGCUACACAAUCAUUGACACUGAGGCACGAAAGCGUGGGGAUCAAACAGG
rnacentral:rRNA from 1 species